GCUUUGACUUUGAUGGCUUUCAGCUUCUAUUUUUUGAAAAGUAGCGCGCUCAGACCAGCUCGCUCACUCUUUUCCUCUUCCAUUUUUUAGGGCAAUUGUUUUGUUUGAUAGACGAAGCUUAGGGUCUCUUUGGGUUUGCAAUCCUUACCCUCCUGGAAAAAAUCAUAGUUGUGCUAGACUGCGACACUUCAGACCAGGUACUAUUAGAGCCGCUAAUGGACGACGAGCUAUUUUCCGCUAUCCGGAGCUCAAGCAUUUGAGCCGCUAAAUGGACGAGACUCCUGGGGUAAAGGAUGCAGAGAAUGAGGAGAAAACACUCGUAUGGAGCAGGGAGUAGGUAUUGUACUACUUCCUGGUAUGGAGCACUGAGAAGCGCUUGGUGACAUCGUCCAAGAUCGACAGGGAUGGCGGGUCACCUGCCGUGACGCUGUCGACGCUAUUGUCCAGUCCCGCAUGGAGCCUGUGGCGAAGCCCCUCAUUUGUGGCACUUGUGCGCGCAGUUUUCGUCGGCCACAGGAUAUUGCGACGCACAAGUGUAACGCUGUUCGCGCGGCCCGCGCGCGCUGAGUAUGGCGUUCCCCGCCCGGUGGACAACACGUCUCCUGGUCUGCCCCGUAUGGGGCCACAUAGCCAGUCAUGGCAGUGGAAGAAGGAAGGACGGGGUGUGUGUGUGUGUGUGUGUGUGUGUGUAUGUGUGUGUGUGUGUGUAUGUAUGUGUAUAUGUGUGUGUGUGUGCAUGCAUGUGUGUGUGUGUGUGUGUGUGUGUGUGUGUGUGUGUGUGCGUGCGUGCGUGUGUGUGUGUGUGCGUGUGCCCCCCCCCCCAACCCAAACCAAAAUCAUGGUUUCUGGCCCCCACCUCUAACGACGAUCUAGAGCCGCUCGCGACUCGAACCAUGGAGAUUGCCCAUGUGUCGUCUUUUCGUUACCUUGGAUCCAACAUACACAGCAACGGCCGAUGUCAUGAUGAUGUUACAUCCCGGAUCUCUGUCUUUUCUCCUUCUGUCUGUCUGUCUGUCUGUCUGUCUCUGUGUGUUUGUGUGUGUGUGUGGGUCUCUCUCUCUCUCUCUCUCUCUCUCUCUCUCUCCCUCUCUCUCUCUCUCCCUCUCUCCCUCUCUCUGUCUCUCUCUGUCUCUCUCUCUGUCUCUCUCUCUCUCUCUCUCUCUCUCUCUCUCUCUCUCUCUCUCUCUCUCUCUCUCUCUCUCUCUCUCUCUCUCUCUCUCUCUCUCUCUUUACCCCGCUCUCUCUCUCUGUGUCAAUAUACAGCUUUCACUGUCCAGGAGCGACACUGACUCGCACUGCUAUCUGGUGCUCACGAGGUGCUUGUCGCGCUGCAAACGGAGCGUCUCUCAUUAGGCGAUUUGAUCGCAGGACGAGAGAGGAGCUGAUGGACGAUCUCUCCAAUGUUCCACUUGGUUCGGAGCGGCGCCGAGUGCUGACGUUGGGACUUGGCCAUUCAACUGCAGUGCCAGUCUGGCUACCUGCCCUGCCUGCGUUCCAGCCUGUGGCUGUAUCCUGCCAUCACAGCGCUGCGACGGUGUUUGGUACGACUGUGCUGAUGGCUCUGAUGCACAGUACUGCCCAGGCAAGGUCACACCAGCUCCAGGUCAAACCGACUGCCAGGUCCUGUCACCACCGGCACUGGGCUCAAUGACCGUGAACGGCUUGAUGUUCAGCAACACGACCACGUUUGUGUGCAGUCUCCCUAUGUCCUUAUGGGCUCGGCCGUGUGUACUUGUGAAAUCAACGGCCAGUGGAGCGGUGUGCAGCCAACUUGCGUCCUGACGACUGCUGCUCUGAGUGCGGCCAGUGACGAGCUAGUCAAGGACUCCGUCUCAGAACGCAUGACACAAACGUCUCCUGCUCCAUGCCCAUUGUUGGAGCGACAGUCCUGGAAUCCAGAGUUGCAAGUGAGGUGGUGAUACGGCAAGCAGACGGUGGCAAAGUACGGCUUAAAAGCUCUACAUCUGGCAAGUGGCCGGCAUACCACCCCAAUGGACAUCGGAACAGUACACGUAGAGUAGCAUCUCUACGUGACAGGGUAUGAGCGCAAGCCAGUAUUGCCAAGCACUGGGGACCUUUGGCAAUCUGAAGAAUGUUUUGUCCGAGAAUCGAUCCUUGGAUCUGUGGCGUUGCAGUUGUGGUGCUCCCGACCCUCUUGGGGGACCUUUGGCAAUCUGAAGAAUGUUUUGUCCGAGAAUCGAUCCUUGGAUCUGUGGCGUUGCAGUUGUGGUGCUCCCGACCCUCUUGCGCGAUGGCCGCGGAGACCUAGCGAAAAGGUUCGAGACAUACGGCAUCUCAAUAUCUUCCACCACAAUCAGUACAUCAGCACCACCAUCGAGUGUAGCGACAUCAGCAAUAGAAGACGCACAUGAUAUCAUCCACCCUUACGGCCUUAGCGAAGACCCGGGAAUACCUGAGAAGAUGUUAGCCGCAACUUUACUGGAAAAGUCGUCGGUGACAACGGCACUCCAUAUUUUAGCUGCAUGCAGUUAGGUCUCUCAACAAGUGUACCCAAAGUUUUCAAGCUAAUACACAAGCAAAUUCACUAGGGGCCGAGUAUAUUUUCCUACACCUCUCCCUGUUUGUUGUUGUUAUUUCUGCAUUCAAAUUGUUUGUGUACCUGUACAUUUAUUACAGUAGAGCCACGCAUCCACAGCUGUUGUUUCCAAGGGGUCAGGCUCGUCAGUUAUACAAAACCUUUCAGCAAUCUGGCCUUAGGCUUAGUUCCUUGACUUCUUGUACCACUUUCUUAGAUGCACAUCCCACUGGAUAGUGAGCAAUACGUGUGUAGCAGAAUCUGUAUUCCAGAAAAGCAGAGACUCGAGUCUAUUGACACUGCGUUUCUUUUUAAAACGUUAUUGGCUGUGGUGUACCUAGAGGUAUACACGUACAUUCCUGGGUCCCACGUUCUGUGACGCCCGACUGUAUUCGUGGUGCCUCAACAACUUUUAA